rnacentral:rRNA from 1 species
GGAACAUCCUUACCGGCUGUUUGGAACAUGCCAGAUGGUGCGCGGAUAGUUGUAAAAUGCAAUCAUCUUGGCCAGCCUAUUGGGGACGAAGGUGGAGUCCUGGGGAAAUUUCUUGGCACAAUAGCUAGACUUGGGGGUUAUUGUCCACUUGACAAAAAGGACUGGCGUAAUGUCAAGAAGGAUGGUGGGGCUGACACAAUACUUCAGUGUGUACAGACAAAGUUCUUGUACCCUGCUAAGUGUGACAAGUGGAUACUAAAAACUACCGGGCGAGAUUGGAGAAGAUUCAAGGCUGGUCUGAAGAAAAUUUUCUUUAAUGCAAACAAGAAAAGAAAAUCUUUGUAUAAGCUUUGUCCAGAAUAUGUGGAUAGUGACCAAUGGCGUGAACUUGUCAAAUUUUGGAAGUCUAAGGAAGGAAGG